rnacentral:rRNA from 1 species
GAUGAACGCUGGCGGCGUGCCUAAUACAUGCAAGUCGAGCGAACAGAUGAGGAGCUUGCUCCUCUGACGUAGCGGCGGACGGGUGAGUAACACGUGGAUAACCUACCUAUAAGACUGGGAUAACUUCGGGAAACCGGAGCUAAUACCGGAUAAUAUAUUGAACCGCAUGGUUCAAUAGUGAAAGACGGUUUUGCUGUCACUUAUAGAUGGAUCCGCGCCGCAUUAGCUAGUUGGUAAGGUAACGGCUUACCAAGGCAACGAUGCGUAGCCGACCUGAGAGGGUGAUCGGCCACACUGGAACUGAGACACGGUCCAGACUCCUACGGGAGGCAGCAGUAGGGAAUCUUCCGCAAUGGGCGAAAGCCUGACGGAGCAACGCCGCGUGAGUGAUGAAGGUCUUCGGAUCGUAAAACUCUGUUAUUAGGGAAGAACAAAUGUGUAAGUAACUAUGCACGUCUUGACGGUACCUAAUCAGAAAGCCACGGCUAACUACGUG